UUCCGACAUCGUGAAGAUCAGCUGCCGAUGGAAAAGACCUCGUCAGGAUCACAUAACAAGGAAAAUUUUCUAAGGGAAAGAGAAGGCGACAGGAACCUUACCUCCACCAUGGUCGGGUAGAACCGCGACAGCAUCUCGGUCACCUGCCGAGACCUCAGCGACUCUACGUCGGCUGGGAGGAGGAUCCCCUGACACAACCUCCUCGCAAGGUUGUGGUCGGCCAACGCCGACGCUCCU
rnacentral:lncRNA from 1 species